GAUAGUUCUUGAUUUGCCAGCACAAAGCCAGUCCACAGUUAUAACCUGUUUUCUCUGAUGAUGGUUUUUGGUUUGCCUGCACCAUGCCAGUCCAGUUAUAAUCUGUCUUGGUUUGCCUGCACUGUGCCAGUCCAGCUAUAACCUGUCUUGGUUUGCCUUCACUGUGCCAGUCCAGCUAUAACCUGUCUUGGUUUGCCUGCACUGUGCCAGUCCAGUUAUAACCUGUCUUGGUUUGCCUGCACUGUGCCAGUCCAGUUAUAACCUGUCUUGUUAUAAUCUGUCUUGGUUUGCCUGCACUGUGCCAGUCCAGUUAUAACCUGUCUUGGUUUGCCUGCACUGUGCCAGUCCAGUUAUAACCUGUCUUGGUUUGCCUGCACUGUGCCAGUCCAGUUAUAACCUGUCUUGGUUUGCCUGCACUGUGCCAGUCCAGUUAUAAUCUGUCUUGGUUUGCCUGCACUGUGCCAGUCCAGUUAUAACCUGUCUUGGUUUGCCUGCACUGUGCCAGUCCAGUUAUAACCUGUCUUGUUAUAAUCUGUCUUGGUUUGCCUGCACUAUGCCAGUCCAGUUAUAACCUGUCUUGGUUUGCCUGCACUGUGCCAGUCCAGUUAUAACCUGUCUUGGUUUGCCUGCACUGCGGGAUCCGGUGGUCAGUUUCGCUGACUUGGUUGACACAUGUCAUCGGUUCCCAAUUGCGCAGAUCGAUGCUCAUGCUGUUGAUCACUGGAUUGUCUGGUCCAGACUCGAUCAUUUACAGACCGCCGCCAUAUAGCUGGAAUAUUGCUGAGUGCGGCGUAAAACUAAACUCACUCACUCACUAAUUGCCUGCACUGUGCCAGUCCAGUUAUAACCUGUCUUGGUUUGCCUGCACUGUGCCAGUCCAGCUAUAACCUGUCUUGGUUUGCCUGCACUGUGCCAGUCCAGUUAUAACCUGUCUUGGUUUGCCUGCACUGUGCCAGUCCAGUUAUAACCUGUCUUGGUUUGCCUGCACUGUGCCAG